ACCAAGACUGCGAAUCGAUUUGAAAUAAUCGAAGCGUAUCCGAUCUCGAAGCGGGAAACGAAUUCGCACUUAACUCAUCUCGUCAGGAUGGCACCAAAGGCAGACAAGACAAAGGCCAAGGCCGCUUGUGGGGCGCGCGCAGCGACCUUCACAUCAUCAAACGUCCACAGUCAAGUUUCGAGCAUGAAGUCCUUCGAACUCUGCGAGGUGUCGGGGAGCAGCUCGAGAAGUGUGCGGCGUGACACCUC
rnacentral:lncRNA from 1 species